rnacentral:rRNA from 1 species
AGUGAACGCUGGCGGCAGGCCUAAUACAUGCAAGUCGAACGGACGCACAGUAAGAGUUUGCCCCUACGGGUGGCGAGUGGCGGACGGGUGAGGAAUACAUCGGCAUCUACUAUUUCGUGGGGGAUAUCGUAGGGAAACUUACGCUACUACCGCAUAUGUCCUACCGGUGAAAGCAGUGGAUCUUCGGACCUUGCGCGAUUGAUUGAGCCGAUGUCGGAUUAGCUAGUUGGCGGGGUAAAGGCCCACCAAGGCGACGAUCCGUAGCUGGUCUGAGAGGAUGAUCAGCCACACUGGAACUUAGACACGGUCCAGACUCCUACGGGAGGCAGCAGUGGGGAAUAUUGGACAAUGGGCGCAAGCCUGAUCCAGCCAAACCGCGUGGGUGAAGAAGGCCUUCGGGUUGUAAAGCCCUUUUGUUGGGGAAGAAAAGAUGCAGAAUAAUACCCCGCUGUUUUGACGGUACCCAAAGAGUAAGCACCGGCUAACUUCGUG